rnacentral:lncRNA from 1 species
UCGUCGACAGCUUGGGGACUGGGUUCACUCGGUGAUCAUGGCGCUCGUUUCUCGCCUCGUUUCCAAGGCUGCAGGCAAUGUCUUUCGCCUUUUAUCAAGCUUUAGUGUUUCAGUAUCUCAUAUUAGCCUCAAUUCUGGGCCCGGAACAGUUUUGCUCUUAGAAACUAUUUUUGUACUUCCGAAAAACGGCUAGCUGGAAUACUUACAGAUGGAAUUUUCUAGAGAAUUAUGGCAUUUGUGGUUCGUGAUAAUUGCAUUUGAGAUUCUCAAUUAUGGAUUGACAAGUUAUGGAGAAUAGAGUAACGUAUAUUUGUUUUCCUGUGGAUCUUUUGGUCUCUUCAUAUGUGUGGUGUUAGAAAGUUUGCUCUCCACUGCAGAGCGAGG